GGCCGGUUAGCUCAGCUGGUUAGAGCAUAGUGCUAAUAAUGCCAAGAUCAUGGGUUCGGCCCCUGUACGGGCCA